rnacentral:rRNA from 1 species
CUACGGGAGGCAGCAGUGGGGAAUAUUGCACAAUGGGCGCAAGCCUGAUGCAGCGAUGCCGCGUGCGGGAAGAAGGCCCUAGGGUUGUAAACCGCUUUCAGCAGGGAAGAAAAUGACGGUACCUGCAGAAGAAGGUGCGGCCAACUACGUGCCAGCAGCCGCGGUGACACGUAGGCACCAAGCGUUGUCCGGAUUUAUUGGGCGUAAAGAGCUCGUAGGCGGUUCGGUAAGUCGGGUGUGAAAACUCUGGGCUCAACCCAGAGACGCCACCCGAUACUGCUGUGACUUGAGUACGGUAGGGGAGCGGGGAAUUCCUGGUGUAGCGGUGAAAUGCGCAGAUAUCAGGAGGAACACCAGUGGCGAAGGCGCCGCUCUGGGCCGUAACUGACGCUGAGGAGCGAAAGCGUGGGUAGCAAACAGGAUUAGAUACCCUGGUAGUCCACGCCGUAAACGUUGGGCACUAGGUGUGGGUCUCAACCAACGAGAUCCGCGCCGUCGCUAACGCAUUAAGUGCCCCGCCUGGGGAGUACGGUCGCAAGACUAAAACUCAAAGGAAUUUACGG